GAGUUUGAUUCUGGCUCAGGAUGAACGCUGACAGAAUGCUUAACACAUGCAAGUCGAUGGGGAAGUAGUACUUGUACUAUGAUAACCAUGGCGGACGGGUGAGUAACGCGUAAAGAACUUGCCUUUAGGACAGGGAUAACAGAGGGAAACUUCUGAUAAGACUUGAUAUAAUUAUUUAGUUGCAUGACUAGGUAAUGAAAAGAGAUGCCUAAAGAGAGCUUUGCGUCCUAUUAGUUAGUUGGUGGGGUAAAGGCUUACCAAGGCGAUGAUAGGUAGCCGGCCUGAGAGGGUGGACGGCCACAAGGGGACUGAGAUACGGCCCUUACUCUUACGGGAGGCAGCAGUGGGGAAUAUUGGACAAUGGAGGAGACUCUGAUCCAGCAAUUCUGUGUGCACGAAGAAGGUUUUCGGAUUGUAAAGUGCUUUCAGCAGGGAAGAAGGAAGUGACGUACCUNAGAAGAGCGCG
rnacentral:rRNA from 1 species